CACGUAGGGGGCGAGCGUUGUCCGGAUUUAUUGGGCGUAAAGAGCUCGUAGGCGGCUCAGUAAGUCAGGUGUGAAAACUCCAGGCUCAACCUGGAGACGCCACCUGAUACUGCUGUGGCUAGAGUCCGGUAGGGGAGCAUGGAAUUCCUGGUGUAGCGGUGGAAUGCGCAGAUAUCAGGAGGAACACCAAUAGCGAAGGCAGCUCGCUGGGACGGUACUGACGCUAAGGCGCGAAAGCGUGGGGAGCGAACAGG
rnacentral:rRNA from 1 species